rnacentral:rRNA from 1 species
GGAUUGGAAAUGGGGGCACCCUGAUCCAGCGACNCCGCGUGUGNGAAGAAGGCCUGCGGGUUGUAAAGCACUUUUAGUGGGGAUGAAAAGCCAUCGGCUAAUACCUGGUGGUCUUGACCUAACCCAAAGAAAAAGCACCGGCUAACUCUGUGCCAGCAGCCGCGGUAAUACAGAGGGUGCAAGCGUUAAUCGGAAUUACUGGGCGUAAAGCGUGCGCAGACGGUCUCGUAAGUCGGGUGUGAAAGCCCCGGGCUCAACCUGGGAAUUGCAUUCGAAACUGCGAGGCUAGGGUACGGAAGAGGGAAGCGGAAUUUCUGGUGUAGCGGUGAAAUGCGUAGAUAUCAGAAGGAACAUCAGUGGCGAAAGCGGCUUCCUGGUCCAGUACCGACGUUCAGGCACGAAAGCGUGGGGAGCAAACAGGAUUAGAUACCCUGGUAGUCCACGCCUUAAACGAUGAGAACUAGACGUUGAGAGGGUUAGCCUCCCAGCGUCGCAGCUAACGCGCUAAGUUCUCCGCCUGGGGAGUACGGCCGCAAGGUUGAAACUCAAAAGAAUUGACGGA